ensembl:lncRNA
AGAGCUGACAAUAACAAGAAGCAAACAGGCCAGCUGUGCAGGAAAGUCGUGCGAGAGGAUGGGGAAGUUGUGAAGGUGAGCUCUGCAGACAGUAAGAGGGUGGGACGAUGCAGCACAUCCAGAAGCAGCUUGACUUGAAAACCAGCCCAAAAGUUACAGAAGAAUCCUCAAUCCCGACCCAUCGCCCUGUAGCUUUGGCACAGGCUGUCAGUGCUGCCACCUGGCCGCGGGUGCUUUUGGCCCCAAGUGGAUGGUUGUGUGGGGUUUUUCUCCUUGAAGCAGGGUGUUAUCCUCCCCACACAUCCCCGCAGAGAUACUGGUGACACAGUGAUAGUGGCCAGAAGCCAUACUUUAAUCGACAUUGGCCUAAGUUGUAUUUCUAAGUCAGUAAACAGAGGAACGUUUUCACUGGCACUUGCUCUAAGUUUUCAUCUCUGGAUUAAAUACUUCACCAUUUUUUUCCCCAUACUGCUUAACAAAUGGCUCUGCUGAGACAUAUAUGGCCUUUACCAGAACUUGCUUAACUUCUGAACACCAAAGUAAGAGGAAUGGUAAGAAGGACCUUGGAUUUUAUCUUGAAGAAGACUCCACACCAAGAAGACCUUUGAGGUAAUUGUGGGAGGCCAGUGGAUGAAGCCAGGCUCUUCUCCGUGGUGUGCAGCAAUAGGACAAUGAGCAAUGGCCUAAAACUUGAAUGUAGGAAGUUCCAUACAAACAUGCAGAAGAGCUUCUUUGCAGUAAGGGUGACAGAGCAUUGGAAUGGGCUGCCCACAGAGGUGGUGGAGUCUUCUAUGGAGAUAUUCAAGACCCAUCUGAACACCUACCUGUGUGCCCUGCUGCAGGUACCUGCUUUACAGGGGGUUGGACUUGAGGGUCUUGAGGUCCCUUCCAACCCCUGGGGUUCUGUGAUUCUGUAACAGGGAACUCUUCAGCCCUGAAAGGGAAAUAAAGGAAGGUGCAAUACAGGCAGGCUUUUUCCAUGCCAUUUAGGCUGAACUGCUGGCUGUAGGCCCUGUGCUCAGACAAAGGCAGAAACACAGUUUUGUUAAUGUGGUCCUUGGGUUCAGGGCAGGACUGUGGGCACUGCAGUGAUCCAGCUGCUGCCCCACAAAGGUCAGAGCUCUUUAUGUCGGAAUAAAUGAUUUCUCUGUCCAGCUUGGUGCAACCUUUGGAGGGAGACCCAGGAAUGAAAAACAUGACAGAGAAAU